rnacentral:lncRNA from 1 species
AUAAUGCAAAUUUGAGUUAUGUCGCUACAAAAAAACGCGCCAUUUUGCGGUGGGUUUUAAGCUAUUUUCCGGGGUUUUUAACCUCCGCAAAUUGUUUUACGGGAGUUUUAAAAACUGCCGCAUAAUCGAUUCACAUAAAUUAUCUGCGGCAGUUUUAGUGGACUGCUGGUAGUUGGCUAAAACCCCUGCAAAAUUGCAGCAGUUUUAUUAGAGGUUUAAAACUCCGCAAAAUAGAAAAAAUAAGUAAAAAAAUAAAAUAAAAAUACUGAAACUUUCAUUAGAAUAUAGUAGCAAAUAAUGCUCAAAAUUUCAUAAAAAAAUAAAAUAAAAUAAAAUAAAAAUUAUCACAGAUUUUCGUACCCAAAUUUUCACAAUGCUCAAAAUUUCACAAAAGAUAAAAAAUGUAACAAUACAACUCAAAUUUCAUAAUAACCAAUAUAAAAACCAUAUACUAAAUGAACAUAAAAACAUCGAACAUUUUUUUUACUGGAUAUCCUCUUGCAUCAAAAUAUUAGGCUCCCCUGCAUAAUUAGUUGACUGAAAUAACAAACAAAAUACUUGGUUAGUAUUCAAAAAACUAUAUUAGGUUCAUGAAUGUUAUAUAUAAGAAAUGCUCACUAGUUGCUGAUAUAUCAGUAGCUGCUCAUAUAUCAGUCUCAAAUCAUCAAUUUACAUGUAUGAGGCAUGGCUCAUGAAUGUUGGUAGAAUAAAAGAUUCUUCUACACAUAAAUCUCAAACUGAUUAGGUAAAAGCAAACUGAAUAAUUUUCAUUUCUAACUUUGAAUCAGAACCUGUUAUAAAAGCUUUUUGCAACUGUCCACAAUGUUUGAUUAGUUUAGCUGCUAAUUUUCUCCAAAUGCACUCAAACUUCAACCAAGCAGCCAAUAACAGAUAAAGGUCACAGCGCUUUCGUGUCAGGGUCAGAAACGAAAACCUUGAAUGCCAAAAUUGCACAAGAACUGAUUGUACCGUAAACCAGAACCAUAUCCAAAAAAGCAGAUCCAUAAAGCCUAGAACAAAAA